UACGAAGGGGGCUAGCGUUGCUCGGAAUCACUGGGCGUAAAGGGUGCGUAGGCGGGUCUUUAAGUCGGGGGUGAAAUCUUUCAGCUUAACUGGAAAAGUGCCUCCGAUACUGAUCGUCUCGAGGGAGGUAGGGGCAUGUGGAACUUCCGGUGGAGCGGUGAAAUGCGUAGAUAUCGGAAGGAACGCCGGUGGCGAAAGCGACGUGCUGGACCUCUUCUGACGCUGAGGCACGAAAGCCAGGGGAGCAAACGGG
rnacentral:rRNA from 1 species